AUUGAACGCUGGCGGCAUGCCUUACACAUGCAAGUCGAACGGUAACAGGUCUUCGGAUGCUGACGAGUGGCGAACGGGUGAGUAAUACAUCGGAACGUGCCCGGUCGUGGGGGAUAACGAAGCGAAAGCUUUGCUAAUACCGCGUACGAUCUAAGGAUGAAAGCGGGGGAUCGCAAGACCUCGCGCGAUUGGAGCGGCCGAUGGCAGAUUAGGUAGUUGGUGGGGUAAAGGCUUACCAAGCCUACGAUCUGUAGCUGGUCUGAGAGGACGACCAGCCACACUGGGACUGAGACACGGCCCAGACUCCUACGGGAGGCAGCAGUGGGGAAUUUUGGACAAUGGGCGCAAGCCUGAUCCAGCAAUGCCGCGUGCAGGAUGAAGGCCUUCGGGUUGUAAACUGCUUUUGUACGGAACGAAAAGCUCUGGGUUAAUACCUCGGGGUCAUGACGGUACCGUAAGAAUAAGCACCGGCUAGCUACGUGCCAGCCGCCGCCGUAACAC
rnacentral:rRNA from 1 species